rnacentral:lncRNA from 1 species
AUAAGUCUAAGAAAUUUUAAGGUUUACACCUAAUAACCACAUGAGACAAAAGAAAUAUUGGAACAAGCAAAAAAAGUUUGAUAAAUAGAAGAAAAUGAAAGUUAUCAACUAUUAAAUCCAAUUUACUGAGGGGGGAAAGAUUAAAGUCACAAUUUAAUAAAACUUCCUGAAAACUACAACUAAAUGAAAAACUUGGAGAAAGAAAGAGAGAGAGAAAGGAAGGAAGGAAGCAAGCAAGUGUAAUGGAGGGAGAGAAAUGGAGUCCCCCACCACUUAAUUCAGGACUAGAGUGUGGUAGAGAUGGAAUGGAGCUAAAAGAGAGGGGACAGAUUGUUUCUCCCCUCUCUUUCCCUAAACCCACACUGGCUGUCUUCAGAUUCACAGACUAUAAUUUCUUGAGAGACUGUGUUGAAGCAGAAUCCAAGACUGAACUGCUUCUUCUUCUUUGGGGAGGAAAUAUAGUUCUCCUCCCCAAAGCUUCAGGUCUCUCUCCCUAAAUAUUAUAAGCAUGGCUUUGAUCUAUAGAAAUAGCUAUUUAUUCUUGAGGAACACACAAAAGGUAGGAUAAGUGAGAUUGUGGGAUAAGAUAAUAGGAAGUCCCUAAAGAUUACCAAUUGAACCCCUUCUCACCAAAUCCUACAGGGUCAGACUUUGCCUGCCUGACCCUCUGGGGUCAACUGUGAUAGCUGUCCUGAUUUCUAACUGUCCUAAUUCUGACAGGAAGUUCAAGGACUACUUUAGAGGGAGAGAGGAGACCUUCCUGGGAUGGAUAGCUUUACACCAAAGUCCUAUCCACUCCUGUUGUUUUCCAUUGGAUUCAGGGGGUCUGGCUUCACAGAAGGAUGAUCAAGUCUCAGAGGUUCUCUCUGGAGGGUUCCCCAAAGAGAAGUGAGGUUACUGCUUGGAUUCUCUCAGCUCCUCAGUUCUUUCACCAGAAUUCUCUGUCCUUCCCCCGCUCAAGUUGGUCCUCUAGCAUGAUGAAUCUGCUUUCUUCUCUUACAGAAGGAAGCAAGCAAGGAAGGCAGCAAGGAAAGAAGGAAGAGAAAGAAGAAACAAAGAAAGGAAGCAAGCAAGGAAGAGAAACAAAGGUAACAUGGUGUGUGUGGUGGCAAAAGAGCAGUCCUUAAGCCAAGAAGAUCUGGUUCCGAGCCCUUCAUGUGACCCUGGACAAAUCAAUGAACCUCCAAGUACUGCUCUAGAGAACACGAAGACUCUGAGGUUCUGACAGUCAUUGUUAAAAGUUUUGUCAUCUAAGAGUUCCCUACAGAAGUGAAAUCACAAGCUCAGUCUUCCCUUUGCAUACUGAACAUUCAAUGGGAUAUGGAUAGCCUGCAUAGCUUCAACGACUUGAAAAUCUCUUGGACUUUUGAAAAUUCAGAGGCUAUUUUGCAAAAACACAAAAACAAACAAGCAGUUUGCCGACAAGUCUAAAUGUUUUUUAUGGUUUUUUCCCCUUAUAAUUUCUCCCUCUCCCUUUUCAUUUGGCUUUUCCUCCUUUCUGUAUUUGUCGUAUUAUUGGUUUGGUUGCUUCGUUGUUAUUUCCAAGCUUAGCAGAGGACUUAGAAUUUAGCAAAUUUUAAUAAAUGUGUAUUAUCUUGUGGAUUUGUUAUCCA